AAGCAAGACAGCUCAUUUUUGGAAAGGGCUCGUUGACUAUCUCUGUUUCUGGGCAGGCUAUGUGGUGGGUGGGUGUUCCUGAAUUCCAUGGGCAUGGCUGCUAUUUUUCCCUCCAAAUGUUGCAUUUCUUUAACAUGAUUUUUCCUCUUCCCACCAGUGUCAAAAAUUGUUUCGAUGGGGCCAAGUUUUCUCGUGGUGCAACAGCGGUGCAUCUGCCUCCUGCUCUGUAACUGGCUCUGAUUGCAUUCAUCCAACACUUCAAUUUACUGUUAUCAGUAGCCAGCUGUUUCUUAUUUAGCCCUUGCACUGAACUAUUCAAUCCUACACUUCACAAUUACUAUAAUGUACAAGACAUUAACUUGGUUGUUGGCCAAUCUUGAAUACAAAUGGAGAGCUAAACAAAAUUGAAAAUUGUAAGAAGUACUUGUCCAAAUUGCAAGGAUUCCUCGGAGAUGAUUUGCAGAUUAAAAAUUGUCAAUAUGCAUGGUGGUUCUCUAGCAAAAAUACUCCAAAGCAGCAACAGUUGCUUACUAAGGCCAACUGAAAAUCACAAAGAACCAGGCAACUUUCAAGAAAAUACUUCUCCAGAAAGAAAUUUUUCAUGCGUGUGGUGAGUGCGGAAGAAGGAGAGAAGCAGCAUUACAAGGCAUGAUAAGGAAAGCCCAGUCUGUAGUUUGUAAUAGAUUUAAGACAGAAAUGGGGAACCUGUAACCCUCUCAUCAUUGCUGACUGUUGGCCAUGCAAGCUGGGGCUAUUUGGAAUUGAAUUCCAACAACAUCUAGAAAGCCACAAGGUGCUCUAUCCCUGUUUUAAGAGGUCUUAGGGCUAUCACUCUCUAUAGCGCAAACUACUCACAAUCUGGUUAAAUGACCACUAUCUUUUGAACAUGGAUUGCCAUUUUGAUGCAAAGGUAUUAGUUGUAUCAAAGAUUCAGUUGUAAAAAGACAUUCUACUACCAAGAGACUCUGAACUUGUUUCAGGGCAUACCAAUAGAAGUUUUUAAUACUCGUGCAUCAACUGCAUAAUCAGGAAUAUAGUACUAAAUGUGGCUAGACUAGACCUAUUCUUAUUCAUUUCAUACAAUGAGGCACUGUUUUAACUAUUUCAAGCUCAAAUACCAUAUUCUUCUGUGUAUAAGACUAUUUUUUCCUAAUUUUUUGAAGUUUAAAAUAAGGGGUCAUCUUACACACGGAUAGUGCAUAGUGCAUUUUCUUAAUUUUGGGUUUAAAAAAUUAGGGGUCGUCUUAUACAUGGGGGCGUCUUAUAAACAGAAAAUACGGUAAUUGCAAUCUUCUGAUUACACCAUAGUCAGAUUCUAUUGAAAUAAAUCCUAUUGAACUAAAAGUCUGCUUCCUGCUGCAUAUAUUUCUAAAACUUAAGUGAAAGUUCUGCUGUGUUUACUUGCAAGUUUAGGAUGGUAUAAUUUCAUGGGACAGGUAUUGCUGCCUUCCUGAGCAAGUCUGAAAUUUCUCACUCCAACAAGCUGUCUUAUACUGCCCUCUAAUGGAUCAAUUACAUAACUGCAACAUGUGCACCUGUAUUUGUAGUAAAACC
rnacentral:lncRNA from 1 species